ACAUGUAUUUAAGCCUUGUGUGUUGUAUUGCUAGCUGCUAGUCAUUGCACGAGACUCCAAUAGUCUAUGUGAGAAUACGACCCUCUUGUUGUGUAUUCGCCUCAUUGCUACUGCCAGCAUUUCCCCUGCCACAAGCAAUAAACGAACUGGCCAGAACAUGCCCAGCGGGAAAAACUUGGCGCGCCGGUCUGCCUCCCAGCAUAUUCAGCCUACCGACCAAGUGGGCUCAUUCUUUUUCUCUUCUUCUUUCUUGUCACCUGCGCCACCCAUGUGUUAUGAUUAUCCUCCACAGCCAACCUGUUCACCUGUUCAUAUAUAUGGCUUAUUAGUCUCUGAUUUUUCUGAUUUUGAGAAGGACCUUGACUUGUAUGACCACCUGCCCGAUUGCGACUCGGAAAUAAAUGUUGCUUUUUCCCUUUCUAUCUUUAGUCCAAGUCAAUUUGUGUCACUUCUUCACAUUUCUAGCCCCCCAUGUGCCCAAGCCCAAGUCUUCUUCCUACAACCUUUUCUGGGGCACCCGCCUGGCCAUUCAUCUGGGACACCCAUGUAGUGGCCAGCGGAAGCGUCCAAGUAGAGCUCAGCUUUAUGCCUCCUGCUUCACUCCGUGCAAGCCACACCAAGCAAAAUCCGCAAUGCCCCACAGUCACCUUUUGCUCAGGUCUCGGUGGAGCCUGCCCCCCAGCCACCUGUCGCCCACAUCUCGGUGGCACUCAAGCCCAAGCCACCUCCUGCCCAUGCCUUGGUGGCGCUCGACCACGAGUCGCUUCUCGCCUCGACGGUGCUCCAACCUGAGCCACCUCUUGCCCACGCCUUGGCGGUGCUUCUCAACCAUGCCUCGGCGGUGCUCAACUAGCAGGAGCCACUGCCUCUUGACCAUGACUCGGCAGUCGGCAACCACCAGCACCCGCCACGUGCUCCUGUUUUGGUUCCUGCUUUGCCUCAGCUGUGCUGUGCUUUGCUACUCAGUGUGUCAGUAGACACAGAGAAUGAUAUUUAUGUAUACACAUUUAUUAUAAUUAUUUUAAAAUUUG